rnacentral:rRNA from 1 species
UACGAAGGGGGCUAGCGUUGUUCGGAAUUACUGGGCGUAAAGCGCACGUAGGCGGAUUUGUAAGUUAGAGGUGAAAGCCCGGGGCUCAACUCCGGAAUUGCCUUUAAGACUGCAUCGCUAGAAUUGUGGAGAGGUAAGUGGAAUUCCGAGUGUAGAGGUGAAAUUCGUAGAUAUUCGGAAGAACACCAGUGGCGAAGGCGACUUACUGGACACAUAUUGACGCUGAGGUGCGAAAGCGUGGGGAGCAAACAGG